UUUCGGUCCAUUAACAAGAGAAUCGAUUCUCUGAGAAGGAAUUGAGCAAUGCUACGUGACGUGUUCUGAUACGUUUAUAUGUAAAUAUAAAACUUUUUUUUUUUGUUUUUUCUAUUUUCUUCCUUCUUUCUUUCCCGAUCUUCUCUCUUUGCUCUCUCGAUCUAAAAAGGCGAAUUGAUGGUCUAGAAAAAUCAAUCGAUUCGACUGGAGGAUUGAUGGUCAGCGGAGGAUAAGAUUCUCAUACCAAAGCCCUCGUCUUCGUCUUCACCGCAGCAACCCACGACGGAGACGAAACAAGUCGACGGAGAUGAUUCCGACGGAUUCGAGACUGCCAGCGAACGUGAAAUCAGCGAUGAAGAUGGUACUAAAAACGACGCCGUCACUAGUCAGGAGGAGAAACGACAGCACUAGGAGAAGAAGAAAGAACAGAUUUUGUGGAGGAGGAUGCACUACGAUUGAUCUGUGAUGGCUUUCAUUCAUCCUUGUCAAGCGGGUCUGAUGAUGCAGGUCUAGUUCUUUGGAUAUUUUUCCCUUUUCCCCUGUCAAGAAACAUUCGUUGAGUUGGUUUUCUAGACAGCUAAUAGGUUGUUAAUCAAGUCUUUCGAUGAUGUGUAGUUCUUUGGUGAAUUGAAAUAUUGAAUAAAGGAGUGUACUAAUGUGAAUCCUAACAAAUGGUUCUGAAUUGUUGUUGAGUGGCAUGUCUUACUGAUAAGAAUCUGUCUCAUCUUUUGAUUAUGUAAUACAUGCCACAUUAUAACUUAAAAUCUGCUGAGCAUUGGUGUGAAGAGCAUUGGAGUUAGUUUUCUUCUGGUUUCAGUUUGAAUAGUAGAUUCAUUUCAACUUGUGUCUAAUUUUUUUUAUUUGAGAUGCAAUUAGUAGAAGAUCACGGUUUGAUGUUGUGUUGGCUUGUGGGUUUUCAGAUUUCGUGUUUAUGAAUCAUAGUUUGAAUGUAAAAAAAGAUGCUUGCUUUAUAUAUGGGCUAACUAGAUUAUGUGAGGUUGGUCACUGCCUUAUGGAACGAAUCGAGUUUUGCCAUUAGGAUCCACAAAGUUUGUAAUUUGUAAUUCUUAUGCUGAUCUUAUUACUCAAUCUCACUAAGAUUGUUUUGUGGCUAAUGUGGUUAAAGACAGUGAUUGAUUCUGAUUUUCCUGGUAACUUAGUUCUUGUCUGUUUCAGCUUUUGGAUUCAAGAAAUUGGUUUCGGUGCAAUGGAUUUUGACAACAUUGUUUUGGAGCAAGGAGAUUCAGAUCACCAGGAUCAGGAGUAGGAUUAGUUGCUCCUUCUCCUCAGUAGCAAUCAAGCACAAGCUCAAGCGUAAGCUCAACAUCUCAAGACAUCGAACAGAGUGUUAAGCUCAACAUCUCGUUUUUGACUAGGCUCCUCAUACAACUACUGACCAAGAACAUACAACAAGCUAUUUUGGAUUCAGUGGAAUCCCAUGAAGAAAAAAAACAUCAACGGUCUUGUAUAAGAGUUGCAGAUUCUGUGUUAUGGCAUGUUGCCUCAAGUACUCUUUGUAAAUUGAAAAUUCAAUGUUACAACAAUGUUUAAGUGAAUCAUUGUUAAUCUUUUCAUAUCCACAAUUGUGAAUCAUUGUGAAUCAUUAAAACAUUGUUUAAAAGAUUGAGCAACCUU